AUGCGAGCGUUAUCCGGAUUUAUUGGGUUUAAAGGGUGCGCAGGCGGUCUGUUAAGUCAGCGGUCAAAGCCCGGGGCUCAACCCCGGCCCGCCGUUGAAACUGGCAGUCUCGAGUUGGAGAGAAGUAUGCGGAAUGCGCGGUGUAGCGGUGAAAUGCAUAGAUAUCGCGCAGAACUCCGAUUGCGAAGGCAGCAUGCCGGCUCCACACUGACGCUGAGGCACGAAAGCGUGGGUAUCG
rnacentral:rRNA from 1 species